UGCCCUGUGACUAUGUGUUCAACGGCCGCGGUAUUUUGACCGUGCAAAGGUAGCGCAAUCACUUGUCUUUUAAAUAAAGACCUGUAUGAAUGGCAUAACGAGGGCUUAACUGUCUCCUUUACCUGGUCAAUGAAAUUGAUCUCCCCGUGCAGAAGCGGGGGUAUUAAUAUAAGACGAGAAGACCCUGUGGAGCUUAAGACAAUAGAGGAAUUUUAUGUAGUAGACCUAAAAAGGGUAUAAACAAGUUCACACUCCCUCCAAUGUCUUCGGUUGGGGCGACCGCGAGUAAAAAACAACCUCCAUGAGGACUAAGGUGUUAACCUUAAAUCCUAGAACGACAGUUCAAAGAAGCAAAAUUUUUGACCUAAGGAUCCGGCACAGCCGAUCAACGAACCGAGUUACCCCAGGGAUAACAGCGCAAUCCCCUUCAAGAGUCCCUAUCGACAAGGGGGUUUACGACCUCGAUGUUGGAUCAGGGUAUCCUAAUGGUGUAGCCGCUAUUAAGGGUUCGUUU
rnacentral:rRNA from 1 species